GAGAUGGUGAAAUAUGAUGGACAACAUGAGUAUGGAAAUUACGAGUACCUUGGGAACACCAGUAAGCUUUGCAGCAGAGCAUGAAAUGAUCUCUGCACAAGAUUUGAAUACCUUUAAAGUUCGUCUUCAGCUGCACAGAGAUGCAGUCCCCACCACAGCAGCUGCUUCUACUCUAAGGUGAUGCCUGCUAGUUUGGAACAGGAAUCAAGAAGAGAAAAAAAUAAACAGGAGAAUAAACGACUUCUAAUGUGCUAACAUUUGCAAAAC